rnacentral:rRNA from 1 species
AACGAACGCUGGCGGCAUGCCUAACACAUGCAAGUCGAACGAGACCUUCGGGUCUAGUGGCGCACGGGUGCGUAACGCGUGGGAACCUGCCCUUAGGUUCGGAAUACCUCCCCGAAAGGGGUGCUAAUACCGGAUAAUGUCUUCGGACCAAAGGUUUAUCGCCUUUGGAUGGGCCCGCGUUGGAUUAGCUAGUUGGUAGGGUAAAAGCCUACCAAGGCGACGAUCCAUAGCUGGUCUGAGAGGAUGAUCGGCCACACUGGGACUGAGACACGGCCCAGACUCCUACGGGAGGCAGCAGUGGGGAAUAUUGGACAAUGGGCGAAAGCCUGAUCCAGCAAUGCCGCGUGAGUGAUGAAGGCCUUAGGGUUGUAAAGCUCUUUUACCCGGGAUGAUAAUGACAGUACCGGGAGAAUAAGCUCCGGCUAACUCCGUG